CUCUGUGACUCCUACGGGAGGCAGCAGUGGGGAAUAUUGCACAAUGGGGGAAACCCUGAUGCAGCCAUGCCGCGUGUGUGAAGAAGGCCUUCGGGUUGUAAAGCACUUUCAGUAGGGAGGAAGGUAGUGUAGUUAACACCUGCAUUAUUUGACGUUACCUACAGAAGAAGCACCGGCUAACUCCGUGCCAGCGGCCGCGGUAAUACGGAGGGUGCGAGCGUUAAUCGGAAUUACUGGGCGUAAAGCGCAUGCAGGCGGCCUGUUAAGUCAGAUGUGAAAGCCCGGGGCUUAACCUCGGAAUUGCAUUUGAAACUGGCAGGCUAGAGUCUUGUAGAGGGGGUAGAAUUUCAGGUGUAGCGGUGAAAUGCGUAGAGAUCUGAAGGAAUACCAGUGGCGAAGGCGGCCCCCUGGACAAAGACUGACGCUCAGAUGCGAAAGCGUGGGGAGCAAACAGGAUUAGACACCCUGGUGG
rnacentral:rRNA from 1 species